rnacentral:rRNA from 1 species
AUUGAACGCUGGCGGCAGGCCUAACACAUGCAAGUCGAGCGGAUGAAGGGAGCUUGCUCCUGGAUUCAGCGGCGGACGGGUGAGUAAUGCCCAGGAAUCUGCCUGGUAGUGGGGGAUAACGUCCGGAAACGGGCGCUAAUACCGCAUACGUCCUGAGGGAGAAAGUGGGGGAUCUUCGGACCUCACGCUAUCAGAUGAGCCUAGGUCGGAUUAGCUAGUUGGUGGGGUAAAGGCCUACCAAGGCGACGAUCCGUAACUGGUCUGAGUGGAUGAUCAGUCACACUGGAACUGAGACACGGUCCAGACUCCUACGGGAGGCAGCAGUGGGGAAUAUUGGACAAUGGGCGAAAGCCUGAUCCAGCCAUGCCGCGUGUGUGAAGAAGGUCUUCGGAUUGUAAAGCACUUUAAGUUGGGAGGAGGGGCAGUAAGUUAAUACCUUGCUGUUUUGACGUUACCAACAGAAUAAGCACCGGCUAACUUCGUG